rnacentral:rRNA from 1 species
GAUGAACGCUGGCGGCGUGCCUAAUACAUGCAAGUCGAGCGAACAGACGAGGAGCUUGCUCCACUGACGUUAGCGGCGGACGGGUGAGUAACACGUGGAUAACCUACCUAUAAGACUGGGAUAACUUCGGGAAACCGGAGCUAAUACCGGAUAAUAUAUUCAACCGCAUGGUUCAAUAGUGAAAGACGGUUUUGCUGUCACUUAUAGAUGGAUCCGCGCCGCAUUAGCUAGUUGGUAAGGUAACGGCUUACCAAGGCAACGAUGCGUAGCCGACCUGAGAGGGUGAUCGGCCACACUGGAACUGAGACACGGUCCGGACUCCUACGUGAGGCAGCAGUAGAGAAUCUUCCGCAAUGGGCGAAAGCCUGACGGAACAACGCCGCGUGAGUGAUGAAGGUCUUCGGAUCGUAAAACUCUGUUAUUAGGGAAGAACAAAUGUGUAAGUAACUAUGCACGUAUUGACGGUACCUAAUCAGAAAGCUACGGGUAACGACGUG